rnacentral:rRNA from 1 species
CCUACGGGUGGCAGCAGUGGGGAAUAUUGCGCAAUGGGCGAAAGCCUGACGCAGCGACGCCGCGUGAGGGAUGAAGGUCUUCGGAUCGUAAACCUCUGUCAGCAGGGAAGAACGGUCACUGUGCUAAUCAGCAGUGAAUUGACGGUACCUGCAAAGGACGCACCGGCUAACUCCGUGCCAGCAGCCGCGGUAAUACGGAGGGUGCGAGCGUUAAUCGUAAUGACUGGGCGUAAAGCGCUCGUAGGCGGUAUGUCAAGUCAAGGGUGAAAUCCCAGGGCUCAACGUGGGAAGUGCCUUUGAAACUGGCAAACUGGAGAGUGUGAGAGGAUAGUGGAAUUCCAGGUGUAGGAGUGAAAUCCGUAGAUAUCUGGAGGAACAUCAGUGGCGAAGGCGACUAUCUGGCACAUAACUGACGCUGAGGAGCGAAAGCGUGGGUAGCAAACAGGAUUAGAUACCCCAGUAGUC